UAUUCCGCCCCACGGGGAAGGAUGAGAAGCUUCGACUAAGGUUCGACUCGAGCGAAGCGAGAGAACGUUGCCGCAGGCAACGGCCCGAAGGGCGAGGCGCUUUAGCGCCGAGUAAUCCUUCCCCCACCACUG
rnacentral:sRNA from 1 species